rnacentral:rRNA from 1 species
GAUAUGGCUCAGAACGAACGCUGGCGGCGCGUCUUAAGCAUGCAAGUCGAACGGCAAGAGGUAGCAAUACCUCCUAGAGUGGCGGACUGGUGAGUAACACGUGGGUGACAUACCCUUCAGAUGGGGAUAGCUAUUAGAAAUAGUAGAUAAUACCGAAUACGAGCACAGGGGUUAGAGAUCUGUGAGGAAAGGAGCUAAGGCUCCGCUGAAGGAAUGGCCUGCGGCCCAUUAGCUAGUUGGUGAGGUAAGAGCCCACCAAGGCGAUGAUGGGUAUCCGGCCUUAGAGGGUGAACGGACACAUUGGGACUGAGAUACGGCCCAGACUCCUACGGGAGGCAGCAGCUAAGAAUAUUCCGCAAUGGACGAAAGUCUGACGGAGCGACGCCGCGUGGAUGAAGAAGGCCGGAAGGUUGUAAAAUCCUUUUGAAACUGAAGAAUAAGCGUUGUAGGGAAUGACAGCGUGGUGACAGUAGGUUUUGAAUAAGCAACGGCUAAUUACGUGCCAGCAGCUGC